rnacentral:piRNA from 2 species
UGACACUUGGAAAGCUGACUGGGCCAUGGGC